rnacentral:tRNA from 1 species
GGAGAGGUGGGUGAGUGGCUGAAACCAACAGUUUGCUAAACUGUCGUACUCUACAAGGGUACCGGGGGUUCGAAUCCCCCCCUCUCCG